ACUGCACACGAAUGAGACAAAUAACAUAUUAAAAUUAAAUAAAAGUUAAACAAGCAAUAAAUUGAUUUAACUGUCAGAUGUCGGAAAUUGCAUAUGGAAGAAGUUGCGAAGCAGCUGUGCUAUUUAGUAGAAUUGAUAUCCAAAUACUAUAAACUCUAACAGCCCAUUCGUCAACGGGAUAUAAGAGGCAGAUAUGUUAUCACCCUAGAUAGUAUAUUUGAAGUGCUUAUAUCCGGGUGUUUGUCACUCGAAUAUUAUAUCUGCCAUAGGCAAAUAUAAUAAGAAUGGGGGAGAGGUGGUGUUAUUAUAUCCGCUCUCUUAAUUCUAUAUCCUCCGACCCAUAUUGACCCCAAAAUAAACCAAGCAUAUACAUAUCCGUUCUUUUAUAAUUUACUCAAACAAACCAUCGAUCUCAUAUUUCCCUUAUAUACAUAUCCACUCUUUUAUCCUCACAUUAUAUCCACCAAAAAUUAAUUGUAAUACCCCUCGUCUUUAAUAGUGCUUAAAGUUAAUUAUGUCUUAUACUUGGGCUAAUUGGGUGAGUUAAAUACUUGUCUUAUUUGCACACACACACUCAAUAACUUUCCUAUUAGUCUAGCAAAACAAAACAGAGUUUCUACGUACUUCUAUUCUUGUUCCUAUCGACCACCUUUUUGAGAGAGAGAGAGAACACCGAACAACAAGAAGAAAGAAGAAGAAGAAGGGAAAAUUAGGGAAAACCUUAUUUGCCUUGGAUUGAAGUUCAUAGCUUGGAAGCGACGCAUAGUGUGGUGGCGUGUUUACUUUUAAGAUGUGUUGUAUAUUUGGAAGCUUGUAGAAAUGAAGUUAUGUUUCAUGGUCACUUAGUUUUGUAUAUAGUUUGUUUAGCUUUUGAGUUUGUAAGUAAGCACAACACUGAGAGGUUUAACUUUUGGUUUGUAAAACCUAUGUAAGACUUUGAUUUGUUAUCAAUAAAAGUUGACUUUUGUUUCCA